rnacentral:lncRNA from 1 species
AUGGUGGGGGCGAUCGUGGUUCCUCUUUCGGCAAGGGGAAAAUCAUAGUUGGCCCUCAGCAUAAGCCGAAGAAAAAGAGCGCGCUGGAAACAGCAAUGCUUCAUUAUUUGCAGCAAUGUCAUGAAGAAGCUGUUGCCGCGGGUUAGGAACCUCCUUUUGGUGGUCGUUAUGCUCCACCCUUAGUCCCGGGUGUUUCACGUCCACUUAGUACUACCAUUUCAGGUGGCACAAAUAAACCUAAGGAUGAGGCUGGGUCAGCGGAACCUUCGUCUUCACUGUCCAAGGAUGCUUAAAGUCCUCCUAGAUAAUAAUCAGUGGAUGGCUUGUUGUAUUGUAU